GCUGGGCGUGGUGGCGCGUGCCUGUAGUCCCAGCUACUCAGGAGGCUGAGGCAGGAGAAUUGCCUGAACCCAGGAGGCGGAGGUUGCGGUGAGCCGAGAUCGCGCCAUUGCACUCCAGCCUGGGNNNNNNNNNNGUCUUACUCUGUCGCCCAAGCUUGAGUGUAAUGGCGUGAAAUUGGCUCACUGCAACCUCCACCUCCUGGGUUCAAGUGAUUCUCCUGCCUCAC
rnacentral:SRP_RNA from 1 species